CAAGACCUUGCGCUUUUGGAGCGGCCGAUGUCUGAUUAGCUAGUUGGUGAGGUAAAGGCUUACCAAGGCUUCGAUCAGUAGCUGGUCUGAGAGGACGACCAGCCACACUGGGACUGAGACACGGCCCAGACUCCUACGGGAGGCAGCAGUGGGGAAUUUUGGACAAUGGGGGAAACCCUGAUCCAGCCAUGCCGCGUGAGUGAAGAAGGCCUUCGGGUUGUAAAGCUCUUUCAGCCGGAACGAAAAGGUUACGGUUAAUACCCGUGACUAAUGACGGUACCGGAAGAAGAAG
rnacentral:rRNA from 1 species